AUUGAACGCUGGCUGCAGGCCUAACACAUGCAAGUCGAGCGGAGCUGCGGACGGGUGAGUAAUGCCUAGUAAUCUGCAUGGUAGUGGGGGAUAACGUCCGGAAACGGGCGCUAAUACCGCAUACUCUCAGCUGAGCCUAGGUGGGAUUAGCUAGUUGGUGGGGUAAAGGCAUACCAAGGCGACGAUCCGUACCUGGUCUGAGAGGAUGAUCAGUCACACUGGAACUGAGACACGGUCCAGACGCCUACGGGAGGCAGCAGUGGGGAAUAUUGGACAAUGGGCGAAAGCCUGGUCCAGCCAUGCCGCGUGUGUGAAGAAGGUAUUCGGAUUGUAAAGCACUUUAAGUUGGGAGGCGUUACCAACAGAAUAAGCACCGGCUAACUUCGUGCCAGCAGCCGCGGUAAUUC
rnacentral:rRNA from 1 species